GAUGAACGCUGGCGGCGUGCCUAAUACAUGCAAGUCGAGCGAACAGACGAGGAGCUUGCUCCUCUGACGUUAGCGGCGGACGGGUGAGUAACACGUGGAUAACCUACCUAUAAGACUGGGAUAACUUCGGGAAACCGGAGCUAAUACCGGAUAAUAUAUUGAACCGCAUGGUUCAAUAGUGAAAUACGGUUUUGCUGUCACUUAUAGAUGGAUCCGCGCCGCAUUAGCUAGUUGGUAAGGUAACUGCUUACCAAGGCAACGAUGCGUAGCCGACCUGAGAGGGUGAUCGGACACACUGGAACUGAGACACGGUCCAGACUCCUACGGGAGGAAGCAGUAGGGAAUCUUACGCAAUGGGCGAAAGCCUGACGGAGCAACGCCGCGUGAGUGAUGAAGGUCUUCGGAUCGUAAAACUCUGUUAUUAGGGAAGAACAAAUGUGUAAGUAACUAUGCACGUCUUGACGGUACCUAAUCAGAAAGCCACGGCUAACUACGUG
rnacentral:rRNA from 1 species